ACACAGGUCAAUCUUUUUAACAUUAAUAAUAUUUUGUGCAUGUAAUAUUACUUCAAGAAUCUCGAAAUAUUUGCUUCGAUAUAUAAUGAUCGUUGUUACAAAUAUUUAAUGGUAUGAACUAAUUCCGCUUGUGAUAUCAAAAAUAUAAGGUUGCAACAAAGCUCUAUGAAAUAAAGAAAACAAUAAAGUUUACUUAUCAGACAAUAUAUAAAAUGUAAAAUAGAUUAUUUGGCGUUUACUUAUUUCUACAAUAUCUAUGGCCAUGCCUAUAAUACCGAUGCAUAUUACACGUCAAAUAUUUUGGUAAAAAAACUUGCUCAAAUAUCCAUAUCCCUUUGCUUCACAGUGAUAGCCUGAUAUAUGGUCGGCAUUCGUUUUUUUUCUUUUCUAAGCGAAUUAAAGUUUGCAUAGAUGUUCAGAAGAAAUCUUCCCUCCCAUGGGUACGACCUUGUCGUGGUGGGAGGGCUCAGUACCCCGAGGGCUUGAAUGCCUAUGGGGGAAGCUAACUGUACCCAUUGCACCUAUUACGUCGUCGAUUGUAAAAUUGUGAUUCGUCGUGCCGCGUUAACGCGGUUCGGGAGUGCCGACCGAUUGAAUUGAAAACGAACCGUAGCCGGCUCGUCGCGUCGCGCGUUUGCUUCGGGAGUGCCGUUAACAAAAGGACUGAAAGGACUUUUUGCAUAACUCCCAUUAGAAUGAUUUCUUAGUUUGAGAGAUACUUUCGAGGGUGGCACUUUCGAGGUCUCGAUAGUAUGGGAUGCUCAUGGAGGCGUUGCUUCUUGCGACGUUCUCGCGCCAAGUGCGCUUCGCGUACGAGGUGAGUUAAGCUGGACCGAUGGACACGCCUAAACGCUGGUAAAACCGCAUGACGCUGUCAGUGAGAAACAGUGAGAAUUCUUAAUUACGAUCUUAAUACGAUUGUAAUUUUGUAUUCUUCUGCGCGGUGCUUGACGUUUCGUGUUAGUUCCGUUGUGGUCCGUACUCGUCGACUCAAGGUGCUGAUUCCACGGAGCAUUCUCCGAACUGGAAAUCAUAUCGUGGGAGUUAUAAACGUGGGGUGACGCAUUGGGAUGUCGCGCGAAAGACAUUUUGACGAUUAAUUAGUCCUCGCGCGAUUAUAACUUUAAUAAUCGCGAGUGUUUCUCGCGAGUGUUUUUCGCGAGUGUCUCGUGACAAAAAAGGACAGCCUGUUCUGAGAGGAGGAGGAGGUCCAGGAAGGGCAUCGGGCCCCGGCAGAGCAACCUUGGGAAUCAUCGUAGCGACGUUGCUGAAUAUCUCUGUCGCUGCGCAUCGGCCGGUGAGUGAUGAAUAAACUUUUAAAUUUGUAAUAGAUCUGUGACAAAAUUUUAUUUCAUUAUAUCAAAUAUAAUGUAGAAAUGUUUGCUAUAAUGCAAUAAUAAAUAAUAUUUAAAUGUCAUACUUAUUUCAUGGAUCUAUUGCUUCAAAAUCAGCUGCCUGUGGAGGAGCUGUUCCGCUUCUGGAAAGAAGCGCGGCUCCACUAAGGCAGCUGACAACGGGGAGGCACAAUGGACUCAUUGUCAGUCUGAGAUGCCAAAGUGGGCCUUGCAGGAGGACCACCCCCGAUGUUAUUAUUAUUAUUAUUAGAUACCAUCAUUUUGUAAACAUAUCUAAAGUUACAGUAAAUAGUUUUACAUAACAAAUGUUUGUCAUAGUAAUUUGAUAUAUUAAUUCUUUUCUCCGCAAUAGCAUUUCAGAUUUUUUAAUCUACUAUAAUAUAAAAUUCAAGAAAUGUUCUUUAAUAGAUUAAUUCAAGCUUCAAGGAAAAUAAACUAAUAACAUAAAGAAAAAAGUUGUGUAACUAUUUACGUUUUCUUAAUUUUUUUAUUCUACAAAGAAAUUGUAGAAAGUAUUAUCUCUGUAAUAUAAUCCUAUC
rnacentral:lncRNA from 1 species